UACGAACUGUGCGAACGUUAUUCGGAAUCACUGGGCUUACAGGGUGCGUAGGCGGCCUUUCAAGUCAGGUGUGAAAUCCCCCAGCUCAACUGGGGAACUGCGCUUGAAACUGGAGGGCUUGAGUCAGCUAGAGGUGCACGGAACUUCCGGUGGAGCGGUGAAAUGUGUUGAUAUCGGAAGGAACACCAGAGGCGAAAGCGGUGCACUGGAGCUGGUCUGACGCUGAGGCACGAAAGCCAGGGGAGCGAACGGG
rnacentral:rRNA from 1 species